CAACACUGAUGCUUGUCUUUGCUGCCGAGGCUUGGAGUAGAUAUGUGUUCCUAUGCUACAUGGAGCAUAUGUCCUGAAUGACACUCCGGCUCUUGUCUUCAUCUGCGUUGUUGGGAUCUGGAAGAAUCAUUAGGAGCCAUCAAUGUGGACUUCAGCUGGUGAUUUGACAAGACACAUAUAGGAGCACCCCAAGUCUCUCCUUCCCCCCUCUCCCCCUCCCUUCCCUCUAUCCCUCCC